UAUGUGAUCGUCUCUCGCAUAUCAAUAAGCGGAGGAAAAGAAACUAACAAGGAUUCCCCUAGUAACGGCGAGUGAAGCGGGAAGAGCUCAAAUUUGAAAUCUUAAAGGGUUUCCCUUUACGAAUUGUAGUUUAAAGAAGUGUUUUCUGUUGAGGUUUUGGUAAAAGUUCUUUGGAAUAGGACAUCAUAGAGGGUGAGAAUCCCGUAUUUGACCUUUACUUUCAACUUUGUGAUACACUUUCAAAGAGUCGGAUUGUUUGGGAAUGCAGUCCAAAAUGGGUGGUAAAUUUCAUCUAAAGCUAAAUAUUGGCGAGAGACCGAUAGCGAACAAGUACCGUGAGGGAAAGAUGAAAAGAACUUUGAAAAGAGAGUUAAACAGUACGUGAAAUUGUCAAAAGGGAAGCGUUUGACACCAGUGUUGUUUUUCUGAAAAUCAAUUAAAGAACUGUUUAUGCUAAGUUGUUUAGACUUUAUCAGCUAUCUGUUUAGUUUUGAGCUUUUCUUUAAUGCACUUUUCAGUUAACAAGUCAACAUCAAUUUCUUUUGCUGUAAAAAAGCUUGAGGAAGGUGGCUUGAGAUUCGUCUUAAGUGUUUAUAGCCUCUUGCCUAUGCAGUCGGAGAGAUUGAGGUCUGCAGCGUAGGAUCCUUCGGGGCUAAAUGCAUUUGUGCUAAGUUAUAGCAUUUUAUAGACAACUUGUUGACUAUGAUUUGUCUUGUAGCUUACUCGCUUAUGUUAUUUUACCUACGCUUAGGAUGUUGAUCUACAGAGCGAGAGU
rnacentral:rRNA from 1 species